rnacentral:tRNA from 1 species
CUAAUGAAAUAGGAUUUGAACCCAUCCUUUGAAAAGCAGAAUUUCAAGUGCAUCGACUACACCAGUUCUU